rnacentral:lncRNA from 1 species
UGUGGUGGGUGGGCACCCCAGCAGGCAGGGUGCUGGGGGAGGAACAUGAGCCCCUGCGGGCUUUGGAAAGAGCAGUGAAGUACAGCCCCAUUGCCUCUGCCCAGGGCUAGCGGAAAGUGAAGUGUUCCCAGCCCCAUUGCCUCUGCCCAGGGCUAGCGGAAAGUGAAGUGUUCCCAGCCCCAUUGCCUCUGCCCAGGGCUAGCGGACAGUGACGUGUCCCCGCAGGCUGAACUCCGACUGGUGACAACGGGUCAGCGUCCU